AAAAGGCGGACGCACCCUGAUCAUCUGUCCUGUGACGGGCUCAGCCAUUGGAUCGCGAAUCUGCGUUCGCGCAUGCGUGGUCCUAGAGCUACGGUGACACUUCGCGUGCGGUGUAGGCGCAUCUUCGCUCUGUUGGCCGUGGCUUUAGUAAGCACACACCUGCCUGCUACUCUGGUUAUCGUGGCGACGGCAGGUCUGGAUUGCCAGACAGGUUUUUCUUUUUACCUCGAGGCUUUCUCUGAAGGGAGUCGGAGCAUUUAAAAGGCGGCCUCAAGGUGGAUUGAGUCGGGGGAGGAUUAGCAGUAUUUGCUUAGGUUGUAAAACCGCGACUUUAUCUAAUAAAUCGCCAUUCAAGGUGCAAAUACAAACUUGGAACAGAGAUGUAAAUGAAUUCCUCAAGGUCAGAGACUGUUUUUAUUCAUUUCUACAUCUCCAACACCUGGCAAAGUGCCUCGGCCAUAAAAGAUUGCAUUUGGGUUUAAACAGAGGACUUAAUCAUAGCAUGGACAGAAAAGGCUCACCAUCUAUCUAAAUGACUCUGAUUGCACCAUCAUCCUCAUUGUUCUUGUGGAGUCUCGCUCUGUCGCCCAGGCUGGGGUGGAGUGACGCGAUCUCGGCUCACCGCAAGCUCCGCCUCCCGGGUUCACGCCAUUCUCCUGUCUCAGCCUCCCCAGUAGCUGGGACUACAGGCGUCCACCACCACGCCCGGCUAAUUUUUUGUACUUUUAGUAGAGACGGGUUUCACCGUGUCAGCCAGGAUGGUCUCGAUCUCCUGACCUCGUGAUCUGCCCGCCUCAGCCUCCC
rnacentral:lncRNA from 10 species